rnacentral:rRNA from 1 species
CAUGGCCCUUACGGCCAGGGCUACACACGUGCUACAAUGGUCGGUACAAAGGGUUGCUACACAGCGAUGUGAUGCUAAUCUCAAAAAGCCGAUCGUAGUCCGGAUUGGAGUCUGCAACUCGACUCCAUGAAGUCGGAAUCGCUAGUAAUCGCGGAUCAGAAUGCCGCGGUGAAUACGUUCCCGGGCCUUGUACACACCGCCCGUCACACCAUGGGAGUUUGUUGCACCAGAAGUAGCUAGCCUAACUGCAAAGAGGGCGGUUACCACGGUGUGGCCGAUGACUGGGGUG